UAAAAGCUUUAUUAGAAUAAAAAGCCAAUGCAUGCUUUUACAGUAUGAAAAUUGGUGAUUUAUAAUAACUUAGCAAAUCGCAAAGUGAAAACAGGCGAUAAAUCAUUCAAGUUUCUGACCUAUCAGCUUUCGACGGUAUGGUAUUGGCUUACCGUGGCAGUGACGGUUAACGGGGGAUUAGGGUUCGAUUCCGGAGAGGGAGCCUGAGAAACGGCUACCACAUCUAAGGAAGGCAGCAGGCGCGCAAAUUACCCAAUUCUAACAGUUUGAGAGAGGUAGUAACAAGAAAUAACAAUACAAGGCAGUUAAAAUGCUUUGUAAUUGGAAUGAUAGAAAUUUAAACCCUUUUUAAAGUAUCAAUUGGAGGGCAAGUCUGGUGCCAGCAGCCGCGGUAAUUCCAGCUCCAAUAGCGUAUAUUAAAAUUGUUGCAGUUAAAAAGCUCGUAGUUGAAGUUCUGCUAAAAGUAACCGGUCUGCUUUUAAUAAAGGUGGUAUCUUGGUGUGUAUUUAGCAAUGAUGUCCUUUGAAGUGUUUUUUACUUUAUUGUAAUAAAGCAUAUUCAGGACUUUUACUUUGAGAAAAUUAGAGUGUUUCUAGCAGGCUAACGCUUUGAAUACUGCAGCAUGGAAAUAUAAGAAGAAGAAAA
rnacentral:rRNA from 1 species